rnacentral:tRNA from 1 species
UAAUAUGAAUCAAUUAAUAUUGUAAUUUAAUUUCGACUUAAAUCUAAGAGACCCGUCACCUCCAUAUUUU